rnacentral:pre_miRNA from 1 species
GGCCUCCCUCUGUGGGGCAAUCGAUCAUGGGCCCUCCAGAUCGAUCACCCCGCAGAAGGAGGCC